AUCCUUUUGUAGUUCCUAAGUGUGACAUAUGCCUCCUUCAAAUCUCAUUAGGACAUCAGCACAUUACCCAUCUGACA
rnacentral:snoRNA from 1 species